CAGCCGUAAACUAUGCGCGUUAGGUGUAUCGGUGACCACGAGUCACCGAGGUGCCGAAGGGAAACCGUGAAACGUGCCGCCUGGGAAGUACGGUCGCAAGGCUGAAACUUAAAGGAAUUGGCGGGGGAGCACAACAACGGGUGGAGCCUGCGGUUUAAUUGGACUCAACGCCGGACAACUCACCGGGAACGACAGCAAUAUGUAGGCCAGGCUGAAGACCUUUGCCUGAAUCGCUGAGAGGAGGUGCAUGGCGUAGACGUCU
rnacentral:rRNA from 1 species